rnacentral:lncRNA from 1 species
UCUCAUCCCACUUAAACCACUUAACUUCCAGAGGAAUGAAGGUUGUACAUUCAUUUCAGAUUUAUAUUUCACCCUUUGCCUACUCUGCAUAGCAUGGCACUGCUAGGAAGCUGCAGUGUAAGGCACAAAUUAUGAAGAAAGGGGUAUACAUAUACAGACCUACAUUUCACCCUUCUGUCUUCCUCUGCCUGCACGGCACGGAUAAAGAAGCAUGCAGGAUUGUUAGGCACAAAUUACAGUGUGGAGUCAAUUGAGGGGCCUAGCCUAUAUUUCAUGAAGCCACUAGAACACUGUUGCUGACAGAGGCAUGUAUACAUUAUUUAUGAUAAAUUACGCAUAAUAAGUGUUGAUUCAAUAGCCUAGUUAAUCAUGACAUGACUUUUAACACUAUCUGUUUUUCUCAGUCUGGCAGUAACCAAGAACAAUCAGAGGCAGAAGAUCCCUCUUUCAGCUGCUGCUGACAACUGCAUAUAAGUUGUUAUUCUACAUAAUAAUUGUCUGCAUAGCAUUUUGUCUUCAUUUUGGCAGAUUAACUCAUGUUUAUUUCUGUAGAUGAAUACAUGUUUUUCCUCCUUUUUUCAUUCUUCUCUGGAACCGGUCAAGCAGGUAGAUAGGCCAGUGGCAAAGGAGUUGUGGCUGGUUCGAAUCCUGGGUCUGGCGCUGAAGAAAAAAAAACAGGCAGAAUUGAUCUGACAACUGGAGGGCUGCUGGAUUCACAUCCUCAAAAGGUUCUCCUACUGUUUGGUCCUUGAGCAAGGUCCUUAACCACACAAGAUGUGCUAGUCUCAACUGUAUGUGUCUGCUUUUUGGGGGAGUUGAGAACAGAGCAGAAGACACAUUUUUGUUGUUCAUUGUAACUAAAUGGACAAAGUAUAUUCUAUUAUAAAGAAGUCAGCCAUUCAAACAAAGAGAUGCCUUCCACCAGUGCAUAUUUCCAAAUGAUGUUUGCAUAUGACAAUAAAUUCUAAAACUAUGCUGG